rnacentral:lncRNA from 1 species
CCAGAUCCUGGGAUGGUUAACGAAGGCACAAAAUGUGGUGCUGGAAAGAUCUGUAGAAACUUCCAGUGUGUAGAUGCUUCUGUUCUGAAUUAUGACUGUGAUGUUCAGAAAAAGUGUCAUGGACAUGGGGUAUGUAAUAGCAAUAAGAAUUGUCACUGUGAAAAUGGCUGGGCUCCCCCAAAUUGUGAGACUAAAGGAUACGGAGGAAGUGUGGACAGUGGACCUACAUACAAUGAAAUGAAUACUGCAUUGAGGGACGGACUUCUGGUCUUCUUCUUCCUAAUUGUUCCCCUUAUUGUCUGUGCUAUUUUUAUCUUCAUCAAGAGGGAUCAACUGUGGAGAAGCUACUUCAGAAAGAAGAGAUCACAAACAUAUGAGUCAGAUGGCAAAAAUCAAGCAAACCCUUCUAGACAGCCGGGGAGUGUUCCUCGACAUGUUUCUCCAGUGACACCUCCCAGAGAAGUUAGACGGGGUCUCACCGCAUUGGCCAGGCUGGUCUUGAACUCCUGACCUCAAGUGAUCCACCCGCCUUGGCCUCCCAAAGUGCUGGGAUUACAGCCUAUAUAUGCAAACAGAUUUGCAGUACCAACCUAUGCAGCCAAGCAACCUCAGCAGUUCCCAUCAAGGCCACCUCCACCACAACCGAAAGUAUCAUCUCAGGGAAACUUAAUUCCUGCCCGUCCUGCUCCUGCACCUCCUUUAUAUAGUUCCCUCACUUGAUUUUUUUAACCUUCUUUUUGCAAAUGUCUUCAGGGAACUGAGCUAAUACUUUUUUUUUUUCUUGAUGUUUUCUUGAAAAGCCUUUCUGUUGCAACUAUGAAUGAAAACAAAACACCACAAAACAGACUUCACUAACACAGAAAAACAGAAACUGAGUGUGAGAGUUGUGAAAUACAAGGAAAUGCAGUAAAGCCAGGGAAUUUACAAUAACAUUUCCGUUUCCAUCAUUGAAUAAGUCUUAUUCAGUCAUCGGUGAGGUUAAUGCACUAAUCAUGGAUUUUUUGAACAUGUUAUUGCAGUGAUUCUCAAAUUAACUGUAUUGGUGUAAGAGUUUUGUCAUUAAGUGUUUAAGUGUUAUUCUGAAUUUUCUACCUUAGUUAUCAUUAAUGUAGUUCCUCAUUGAACAUGUGAUAAUCUAAUACCUGUGAAAACUGACUAAUCAGCUGCCAAUAAUAUCUAAUAUUUUUCAUCAUGCACGAAUUAAUAAUCAUCAUACUCUAGAAUCUUGUCUGUCACUCACUACAUGAAUAAGCAAAUAUUGUCUUCAAAAGAAUGCACAAGAACCACAAUUAAGAUGUCAUAUUAUUUUGAAAGUACAAAAUAUACUAAAAGAGUGUGUGUGUAUUCACGCAGUUACUCGCUUCCAUUUUUAUGACCUUUCAACUAUAGGUAAUAACUCUUAGAGAAAUUAAUUUAAUAUUAGAAUUUCUAUUAUGAAUCAUGUGAAAGCAUGACAUUCGUUCACAAUAGCACUAUUUUAAAUAAAUUAUAAGCUUUAAGGUACGAAGUAUUUAAUAGAUCUAAUCAAAUAUGUUGAUUCAUGGCUAUAAUAAAGCAGGAGCAAUUAUAAAAUCUUCAAUCAAUUGAACUUUUACAAAACCACUUGAGAAUUUCAUGAGCACUUUAAAAUCUGAACUUUCAAAGCUUGCUAUUAAAUCAUUUAGAAUGUUUACAUUUACUAAGGUGUGCUGGGUCAUGUAAAAUAUUAGAC